AAGAGGUCCUGCCUGCCCUGUGACAACUUUGUUUAACGGCCGCGGUAUAUUGACCGUGUGAAGGUAGCGUAAUCAUUUGUCUUUUAAAUGAAGACCAGUAUGAAUGGCGUGACGAGAGUUUAACUGUCUCCCUCUCUUAGUCAAUGAAACUGAUCUCCCCGUGCAGAAGCGAGGAUAAUCACAUAAGACGAAAAGACCCUAUGGAGCUUUAGAAUAUGAAACAGCCCACAAACAUAACAAACAAAGUUAGAUCCCUGUUUCCACAUUUCUUAGGUUGGGGCGACCAUGGAGUAAAACAAAACCUCCACGAAAAAACACCCAAGUUUUUAAAAUCUAGAGCCACGCCUCUAAAUUUCAGAACUUCUGUCCAACAAAUGAUCCAGUUUAUUCAACUGAUUAACGGAACAAGUUACCCUAGGGAUAACAGCGCAAUCCCCUUUUAGAGUUCCCAUCGACAAGGGGGUUUACGACCUCGAUGUUGGAUCAGGACAUCCUAAUGGCGCAACAGCUAUUAAGGGUUCGUUUGUUCAACGAUUAAAGUCCUACGUG
rnacentral:rRNA from 1 species